rnacentral:rRNA from 1 species
CCUACGGGAGGCUGCAGUGGGGAAUAUUGCACAAUGGGGGAAACCCUGAUGCAGCAACGCCGCGUGAAGGAAGACGGUUUUCGGAUUGUUAACUUCUGUUCUUAGUGAAGAAUAAUGACGGUAGCUAAGGAGCAAGCCACGGCUAACUACGUGCCAGCAGCCGCGGGAAUACGUAGGUGGCAAGCGUUGUCCGGAAUUACUGGGGGUAAAGGGAGCGCAGGCGGGAAGCCAAGUCAGCUGUGAAAACUACGGGCUUAACUUGUAGACUGCAGUUGAAACUGGUGUUCUUGAGUGAAGUAGAGGUUGGCGGAAUUCCGGGUGUAGCGGUGAAAUGCGUAGAUAUUCGGAAGAACACCGGUGGCGAAGGCGGCCAACUGGGCUUUAACUGACGCUGAGGCUCGAAAGUGUGGGGAGCGAACAGGAUUAGAUACCCUUGUAGUC